UGGGAUAUCAAGAGUUAAACAUCGUAAUAAAUAGUGUGAGAAAUUAUUCAAAUCGAUCUGUCAAGAUGUCGCAAGGUCAAAAGGGCUAUCCACAACAACAAUAUGGACAUCAGCAAGGACAACAGCAUGGACAACAGCAAGGAUAUGGACAACAACAUGGACAACAGCAAGGAUAUGGACAACAGCAAGGAUACGGACAACCAAGACAAGGGCAGAAUACGGUCGUUGUACAACAACCCCAGUUAGUAAGCGUCCAGAAUAUGAGGCCACCGGAUUAUUUAAUCUUUUCGAUAUUCACUUGCCUCUGUUGCUUCUGUCCUCUUGGAUUAGUUGCCCUUAUCUUUUCUAUAAUG